rnacentral:snRNA from 1 species
CCCACCAAUAGGGAACGU